ACUCCUACGGGAGGCAGCAGUGGGGAAUAUUGCACAAUGGGCGCAAGCCUGAUGCAGCCAUGCCGCGUGUGUGAAGAAGGCCUUCGGGUUGUAAAGCACUUUCAGUCGUGAGGAAGGUAGUGUAGUUAAUAGCUGCAUUAUUUGACGUUAGCGACAGAAGAAGCACCGGCUAACUCCGUGCCAGCAGCCGCGGUAAUACGGAGGGUGCGAGCGUUAAUCGGAAUUACUGGGCGUAAAGCGCAUGCAGGUGGUUUGUUAAGUCAGAUGUGAAAGCCCGGGGCUCAACCUCGGAAUAGCAUUUGAAACUGGCAGACUAGAGUACUGUAGAGGGGGUAGAAUUUCAGGUGUAGCGGUGAAAUGCGUAGAGAUCUGAAGGAAUACCGGUGGCGAAGGCGGCCCCCUGGACAGAUACUGACACUCAGAUGCGAAAGCGUGGGGAGCAAACA
rnacentral:rRNA from 1 species